AGGGGUGUGAUAUUUGAUCUUCCAGUUAAAUCACUGAGAAUGGCUCAGGACUAUCAAUUUAUGUUAAGAGAAUAAACUAGCCAUGAAAUUUAUGAAGCAGAGGACAGAAAAUUAAAAAGCUGUUCUGCAGCUGUUUGUUGUAGGAUUUCUUGUGACUUCCUGAUAAGCAUCUAACCCUUGCCAUGCUUAGGAUGUAGGUGAUGAAUUACUUAGGUGAGAAAUGCUAAUGUCCAAUAAUUAUUCUGGAGUUUCAAUGAAGCACUCUUUGUUCAGACAUUUUUGCAAAAGUUGGUGUUCUAAUGGGUAGGAAUGCCAUAACAAACAAACAGCAAAUAUUUAUAUCCAUAUCACUGACAACACUUCCCUCUCCCAAACUGGGUUAUAGCCUAUCUGGGGUUGAGUUUUCAAUUUAUUUCCUUUUAAGGCAUCCCCUUGAGAAGGUUCUGGUUUAAGACUCCCUGGCCUUAAUCUCCAGGGUUACAGAGUGUCAACAUUACAAAGACUGUGACCCACAACUCUCCCAAAGUUACUGGUUUCCCAAUUGUAGCUCAAGCCUCCUCCUCCUAGUUACAUUCAGUUACCCAGUCCCUCAUAGCAACAGGCUGCCUAGCACUUCCUGGAAGGACAACAUAACAUUCCAUAUAUCACACUUGCAUGCUUUUUCCGUAAGCAUAAUGCUGAUGUCACUGGAGGUAAACAAGCAACAGAGAAGACAGGAUACACUGCUUCUGCAUGCUGUAGGCUCAAGAUUGCUGUGAAAGGUCAUGCCAUUCUAUUUCCACUGACUUCUGAAACUUUUUUCUUAAUCUGUAGUUAUAAUUUCCUUACAAAGUCAUCCUCCCUUUUCUUUCCUCUCCCCCCACAAUAAAUAAAUAAAUAAAUAAAUAAAUAAUUUUUUU
rnacentral:lncRNA from 1 species